rnacentral:rRNA from 1 species
UACCAGCACCCCGAGUGGUCGGGACGUUUAUUGGGCCUAAAGCAUCCGUAGCCGGUUCUACAAGUCUUCCGUUAAAUCCAUCUGCUUAACAGAUGGGCUGCGGAAGAUACUAUAGAGCUAGGAGGCGGGAGAGGCGAGCGGUACUCGAUGGGUAGGGGUAAAAUCCGUUGAUCCAUUGAGGACCACCAGUGGCGAAGGCGGCUUGCCAGAACGCGCUCGACGGUGAGGGAUGAAAGCUGGGGGAGCAAACCGG